UUAUAGAACAAAACUAAUUACAGAGGGGGAGGUCAGAGCUUUGAAACUCCUCGCUUGACGAUUGCUCGCUUUUGGUUCCUUUUGAAAUUCUUCUCUUCACAGUUACAGGUUCAGUACUUCACACAACCUGCGUGUCGAAGCACACAAAACGGCAGUGUCCGCUCCUCAUUUCCCAAAUUCAAAUUGCUUUACUUUAUUCACUCUCCCGCUCUCUCUCUCUUCUCCGGACUGCUGCUUCUUUUUCUGCUGUGUAUGGUCAUCGCCAUUUCCCCCUUUCUCUCACUGAACUUCUCUCUCUCUAUGCUUCAGUUUCUCCCCCUUUCCCAGAUAGGAAUGAUCCCCUCAGCUUUCAUUUCCUCUCUCUAAACCUCUUAUUUCGCUCUCUUAUUCAUUGGGAAAACGCACUGCGGAGUAGCGAAAAAAUUGAAAAAACAUGGAUGACAGCGUUGAUGUUCCCAUGGAGGAAGCGGUUGAAGCCCUAAUUGAUACUCUGGUGUGUCCUCUGCUUCCAAGCAGAGCGUCCAACUCCUCUGCUCUGUCUCCUGCUCAAGAACAAAAAGUAGCUAACCAGAUGCAUGCAGCUGUGUUGCUCUACAACUAUUACCACCGAUGCGAAUUUCCACAGCUUGAAUUUCUCGGGUUUGAAAAUUUUUGCAAGGUUGCAGUAAAUGCUAAGCCAAAUUUGUUAACUUACAUGAAGUUCAUGAAGGAAUUCUCCACAAAAUCAACUGAGAAAUACCAAGAGCUUUCUCUCACAGAAAAAAUGGUUAAGGAGGCAUGCGAUAUCGCUGAAGGACUCAAUGCAUCAAAACCAGUUCCAAACAUACAAAGUUGGCCUGUCACAAAAGUUGCAGUUUUCUUAAUUGACUCUAUGAGAAAGAACUGUUUAUUGAUGUUUGGUUCUAUAACACUGGGUGUCUGGUCACUUAUAGAAGAGAAGAUCGAAUCAAAGGAUACAAAGAUGAAAGCACCUACAAGAGUAGUCCAUAUGGAAACUAGUGGAAUGCCAAUAUUCAACUCAACUGAAGGUGACCUUUUGAAAAUUGCAUUCACAGCUGUCAAAAAACAAACAGGCAUUGAUCAGGCUGAUUUGAAUGUGUUGGAAAGAAGUUUUUCAUACUCCCUAAGCAAAAAAAGGGAAGCUGUCCAACUUUAUGUGAUGCAAUCUGUUAAGAGAAUUGAUGGUGAAAUCCGCCAAGUUCCCAUAAAAGAUGUCGUGAAUAGCCUGGACGGUCCAAUAUUCAGGAAGGAGUUCCUCAAUUAUGAAACAACUUCGGUAGUUGAGUAUUUCCAUUUACUACCAUAUAAGGCUUUCAUCUCGGAAUGGUUCUCUAGGGAAGCUUUACUUGGUGGAUCAAAACUUUCAGCGGAGGCAUCUGCUAACUCAAAUGGAUCAACUGGCUCUAAUGUCUCAAAUAAGACAAAUUUGGCUGUGAACAACAUACAUCCAGCGGGGAAAAUUGAUGCAGGAACAGAUAAUGAAGCUCUUCAUCAUGACCAUAGAGAAAUGAAACACCACGCAUCACCAUGUUGUAUCGCAAAACCUGCUGAGGAAGCUAAGAUUUCUCCUACUUUGGAUUGCUCAAAACUUGAGGUCACUAAUGAUGGAUCCCAAGAUGGUUCACUUGAAAAACGCAAACCGCUCCCACUCACUCCAAGGGUUUCAAUUAGGCUUGAACGUUCCAACAAUGACAGUGUAAAAGAAAUGGACACAUCUAGCAAGCCAUGUGAUACAAACAAAACAAACCCAGAGCUAAAAAUGGUGGAUUCGUCUUGCAAGCCACAUGAUACCAAACUAAUGAACUCAAAGCUGAAAAGGAUGGAUUCAUCUAGCCAGCCAUGCGAUACCAAGAUAACGAACUCAGAGAUAAGAAUGACGGCCUCAUCUAACAGCCUGUGUAAUACUACUAAUACCAAGGUAACAGAUUCAGCACUUAAAAGGGUGGACUCGUCUAGCAAGGCAUGUGAUACCAAGAUGAUGAACUCAAAACUAAGAACUAUGGAUCCUUCUAGCAAGCCAUGUGAUACAAAGUUUACAAACUCAACAUUAGGAAUGGUGGACUCAUCUAGCAACCAAUCCGAUACAAAGAUUGCAACUUCAAAGCCAACAGUGAUGGAUUCACCCAGCAAGCCAUCUGCUACCAAUAUUUCUGAUUCAAAGCUAGAAAUAUCUAGCAAGCGAGGUGAUACCAAGAUUACAAACUCAGAGGUAAAAGUGAUGGAUUCAUCUGGCAAGCCAUGCGAUACCAAGAUAACAAACUCAGAACUUGGAGGGAGUAAGUUCUUCUGCAAGGAGGGUUCCCACAAUCAAGAUGAGAUGCUUGAAGAUGCACUUCCAUCUGCUGCUGUCAAGGGUCACUCAGACAAAUCCCAUGAAGUACUUAAGAUGUUGCAUUCCAGGAGAGAUGAUUUGUUUCAGGCUGCUUUAUCAGCCCUUUAUAGAAAAAGAGAUGAGCUGGUUCAUCAGAAACGGUUGGCAGAAGAUGAGAUUUGCAGAUGUGAGAAAAGCCUACUAACAAUCAUGAAUGAAGAGGAAGAUGCUCUAGAGUUAUCAAUAGAUUUGAUUAUGGAAGCUUGUAAGAAGGCAUGUUGUAAAGGAGAUACUCAAAUUUCCACAGUGGGGCAUGAGACUUCUAGAGGGAAUUGUUCAUUUCAAAAUGUAAAAAGGAAAAAGCUGUCGGAGGCUGUACUUUAUCUUAAAAGUUCAUGCCAGGAACUAGAUGAAAUAUGCGUCAAAAACCAGUGGUUACCACCAAGCUACAACACUUUCCCAGCAGAUGCGUUUGGACUCAUUUGUGCAAACGUAAUGAUUCAUGGAGUGGACUUUGAAUUUUGCGAGCGUGGUGAGUUGAAAAGCACUCCACAAGAAGCAAGGGAGUCGGCAGCCGCAACUAUGUUGACUAAAUUACGAAUUACUGUUAGCGAGACACAGUAGUUUGAGUUGGCAUUAGAGACGAAAGAAUGACAAAUCGAUCAUGCCAUUUUACCUGAAAGAAAAACUGAAAGUUCCAUUGUUGGUCCCCUUUGACAUGGCACAGUAUCCUCUUACCCUCUUGCUCUUUUAUUCCAUCAGCCACAUCUCAAUGGGGACUUGUAGAUGAAUCUAAGAACAGAAGAUAUUGGCACUUGGAUCAGCGGAUAGGGCAUUAGGGGUCCUGCAGCACAUUCGAGACAUGAGUUUUACCUCUAAACUACCCAAAUAAAAACCAGUACUGAACGUCUGAAAACUCCAAAUGAGGAUCUCCUCAAGUGGUGGGCAACUGGAGACGGAUUCAGGUAAAACUGAACCCUGGAGCUUGAGGAAGCUUGCUCCCCCCCUUUCGCCUUUCCUCUUUCCCUUCCCUCAAUGCCUACCGUUCUCCAUCCCUACCAUCUUUCGUCAUUGCACAAUCCUCCUCUCCCUCCACCUCCCUUUUCCCAUGACUUCUAAUAUUAGUUGUAAGUGACAAUGGUGGUUCCGGAUGAGCAACCUCAAGACCCACCGCCUGAACCUCUGGACCUGAAUCCAUGGAAGUGAGCGAAAGUUUUUUGAGAAAUGGUUGAGAGGGGAUCCAGCUCACUAAGAUUUCUGGCAAAAACCUACAUAGUGGUAAUGGAAGAUGGCAAGGUCAAAGCUCCUUCCACAAGAGAAGGUCCAUGUGAGUUCAAAAUUUUGGGGGGCCUCUCAUUGGGAUCUUACCAAGGUCAAAGCUCCUUCCACAAGAAAAGGUCUUUGGGAGUUCAAAAUUUUGGGCGGCCCUCUCAUUGGGAUUUUCUAUGGAAGAAGACCUUAAUGAGUCUGUCCUCUACAAAGAUUCACACAAACUUGGAACAUAAAAGGAACGCUCGGCAUUAUAGCCAAAGAGGACAACCAUAUUGUUUCUGGAUUUGAUCUAAGGUAGCAUAUGGGGAAAAGAAAGUUACAAAUAGAGGGCCCCAUUUUAUAGGGGAGGUUUCAUAUAACUCAAAUGUUGUCAGUCCCUUUGGACACCUUCAAUGGACUACAAUCCGUACCAUUCCCAUGGGCUAGGUUAACAGACCUUCCAUAUCAUCUUUGGUUGGUUCAUAGCUGCUUCCAUUGAACCCCUGUUUCAAUGGACAACUACUCAUGAUGAUAAACAAGUAGAUUUUGCUCUUAUGGGUCAGGACGAUUGUAGGGGAAAAGUUCUUGCAAAACGUUUUGAGUAUGAAACUGUUUUGAAACCAUGCUCCACUGCAUGACUCUUGGUCAUGAGACACAAAACUCCUUGUUGCGUCCAAUUUGAGAUGGUACAGCUGGUGCACAAGCACCUUUCUGUGUUCAUAUUAGAAGGGGUGAAAAUAGACAUGAGUGUAUAAUAGCGUUUUAAUUUAAAACUCUCUUUUUGUAUAGAUUGGGUAGAUAAUAAAUUUUGAAGGUGUGCAGGCUACACUUAGGCAGA